rnacentral:lncRNA from 1 species
UGAUGUUGGGCUCCAAGGAUGCAUCCUUGCCAGAUCCUAAACAUCCUGGUUUUUUUCCAACAAAAGCUUCCUCGAAAACCGAGUCAUCAAAAAGCAAGACAAACUCUGCAAGUAUAAAUGAAUUAUCGGUUACAAUAGUUGAAGGUCGAUGACUAUUAGAUUGAGGUGGUAAAAUUUUCUCAUACCAGAGACAAGCUAUGUAAAGUUCUCGUUCUUUUCAGUCAGAUGCAUUUCUUUCAGCUAUCUCAAAUUCUAAUCACAAGUCAGCAGACCAUUAGUGUAAAUAACUUAUACUAGGCAUUUUGUAUAAUAUUUUGAAAAUAAUGAAAAAAAAAACUAGGAAUUCAUACUGUUGUUCAUCCAA